rnacentral:rRNA from 1 species
GACGAACGCUGGCGGCGUGCCUAAUACAUGCCAGUUGAGCGCUGAAGGUUGGUACUUGUACCAACUGGAUGAGCAGCGAACGGGUGAGUAACGCGUGGGGAAUCUGCCUUUGAGCGGGGGACAACAUUUGGAAACGAAUGCUAAUACCGCAUAAAAACUUUAAACACAAGUUUUAAGUUUGAAAGAUGCAAUUGCAUCACUCAAAGAUGAUCCCGCGUUGUAUUAGCUAGUUGGUGAGGUAAAGGCUCACCAAGGCGAUGAUACAUAACCGACCUGAGAGGGUGAUCGGCCACAUUGGGACUGAGACACGGCCCAAACUCCUACGGGAGGCAGCAGUAGGGAAUCUUCGGCAAUGGACGAAAGUCUGACCGAGCAACGCCGCGUGAGUGAAGAAGGUUUUCGGAUCGUAAAACUCUGUUGGUAGAGAAGAACGUUGGUGAGAGUGGAAAGCUCAUCAAGUGACGGUAACUACACAGAAAGGGACGGCUAACUACGUG